GCGCUGAACGGCUUCCUUCUGGGCAAACGAAUUGGAAGAUGGUGCCCUCCUUGGGCGGGUAGGGGCCAGGUGAAGGGAGGCAGCAGAGGGGCACGCGUCCAGAGUGAGGGCACCAGAGCCGCCCUAGACCGGGAGCUCCCGUGGCAGGCAGGGCACUCAUUGCUGGGGACCCAGCACGCCGGGGGAGGCGCGGGGCCGGCCCUCCUGGAGUUGUUACAGGCGAGUACACACAGCAAAUCAUGGCGCGUGGCCGCGGGCGCCCGCAGUGAAGGGCUCGGGGAGCUCGGAAAGCCCCGAGAGUGGCCGCUCUAGAUGCCGCGCCAAGGGAAAGCCUCGGUAGGGAGGCGGCAUUGACUGAGAGGAAAUUACUCCAGGAACUACAUCAUAACGGGAGUUUCACCAGAGGACUUAUUGUAUAUGGGCUGUGGCAGCAGACCAGUUACACCAUAGUACUUGUUCUGGAAGUGAGGAGUCCAAGAUCAAGGCUCAGCAGAGUUGGUUUCUUCUGAGGAGCCUGAGGGAAGCGUCUGUCCCGGUCCUUCUUCUUGACUUGUAGUGGUCUGGAAGUGAACCCACGACAUCUCUGCGGUAUGUCUAUAUUCCCUGAACCCUCGUAUGCGCAGUCUCCACCGUUAUCGACAUCCCUCACGAGAACAGCACAGUUGUUACAAAGGAUACGCCUACACUGACACGUCAUCAUCCCCCAAAGCCCACAGUUUACCUCGGGGUUCACUCAGGGUUCACAUUCUGUGGAUUUGGACAGAUGCAUCAUAACGCGAGGUUGAGAUGGUUGGGUGGCAUCACCGACUGGAUGGACAUGAGUUUGAGCGAGCUUCAGGGGUUGGUGAUGGACAGGGAAGCCUGGUGAGCUGCAGUCCAUGGAAUCGCAAAGAGCCGGACACGACUGAGCAACUGAACUGACUGAUGACUGUAAAGUCAUUCAGAGUAUUUCCACUGCCUUAAAAAUCGUGCGGACUCCACUUGUUCAUCCCUCCCUCCAAACCCCAGACAACCACUGGUCUUGUCUCCAUACGUCUGCUU